GUGUGUGUGUGUUAUAUUUAUUAUAUAUUGCACAAUAAAACAAAAUAUUGCUUUGCCUAAAAUAGAGAUAAAGCUUUGCCUUAAAUUUUAUUUCAUAAAAUAAUCAUUUGUCCUUUAUUAUUUCUCUCCUUGAGAUGAUGUUAAUAGUGCAUGGUUACUCUCCAGGUCUGUCAAUAUUUAUCAUGGUUUUAUGUACAUGGUUUCAAACUUUGAAAUCCUUAUUUCUGAAAACAAUCUUUGAUCUUUAUUAAAUCAGCCCCUUUAUUGAACCUGUUGUUUGCCUUCAGCUUCAAUUCCAUUCUCAUGUCUCUUUCUGAUUUUCAUAGUCCAGAUUCUCCCACUGACUUCAUUCAUCCUCUAAACCACAUCCCAGUCUUCUUCCUUCUGCACUCACCAGGACCGUAAAGUUCUACUCUCAACCCUUCUAAAAGUAGAAGUUAAAAGAAUUAAAUUGGCCGAUUUUGAUGAUUAAGGAGGGUGUGGGCAAUAUGGCUGUCCAGGAUGCAUGAACAGGUUCUCUUCUGGGUACUUGGAUAUGACAAAUAAGACAAAUUUCUUGAACUCAUGGAACUUUCAUUCUAGUGGAGAGCAGAUAACAACCCAACAAAUUAAUAUAUGAAAGCUAAUUUUAGAUGGUGACAGUUGCUGUGAAGAAAUUAAGACAGGUAAAUAUGUUAAAGCAUGACUAGAGUGAUAAUUAACAUUUCUUCAAGUAGAUGAAUUUGUAGCUAAAACUCAAAUGAUUCAAAAGAGCCAGGCAUGUAAAGAGCAAAGGUAAGCGUGUUCCAGGGAUAGAAUAAGAAGUUCCCAAGUCCUGAAGGUGGGACCAAACUUACUGCAUUGUAGGAGCAGAAGG